rnacentral:rRNA from 1 species
AACGAACGCUGGCGGCGCGCCUAAUACAUGCAAGUCGAGCGAGAAAGUGUAGCAAUACACUUGUAAAGCGGCGAACGGGUGAGGAAUACAUGGGUAAUCUACCAUCGAGUGGGGAAUAACCAGCCGAAAGGUUGGCUAAUACCGCGUACGCUUCCGAGUCUUCGGGCUUGGAAGGAAAGCCGCACUGUGAGUGCGGCGCUCUUUGAUGAGCUCAUGUCCUAUCAGCUUGUUGGUAGGGUAACGGCCUACCAAGGCUUUGACGGGUAGCUGGUCUGAGAGGACGAUCAGCCACACUGGCACUGCGACACGGGCCAGACUCCUACGGGAGGCAGCAGUAAGGAAUAUUGCGCAAUGGGCGAAAGCCUGACGCAGCGACGCCGCGUGGGGGAUGAAGGUCUUCGGAUUGUAAACCCCUUUCGGGAGGGAAGAUGGAGCGAGCAAUCGUUCGGACGGUACCUCCAGAAGCAGCCACGGCCAACUUCGUGCCAGCA